AUGUUCUUCAGAUCUUGCUGGAGCCUGAUCAAAAAUGAUAUAAUGGCCGUGUUCCACCACUUCUAUCAUGUUGCGGACGGCAGUUUCGCAGACCUAAACACGGCCAUGAUCGCCCUCAUCCCAAAGAAAGACGGCGCCGCCAGCAUGGGGGAUUUCCGGCCUAUAAGUCUAGUGCACUUCAUUGGCAAACUGAUCUCUAAAGUUCUGUCCAUGCGGCUAGCCACUGUAAUCAGCAAGAUCAUCUCGCCGGCGCAGACGGCAUUCCAGAAGAGCAAAUGCAUUCAUGAUAGUUACCUCUAUGUCCAAAACACCAUUAGAGCGCUGCACCAUGCCAAAACCCCGGCGCUGCUGUUGAAGAUCGACAUUGCGAGAGCCUUUGAUAGUGUUUCCUGGGAGUACAUCAUUGAACUUAUGUGCAAAAUGGGUUUCCCCGCACGCUGGCGCGACUGGAUCACCCUGCUGCUCUCAUCCUCGUCAUCGUCGUGCCUGAUCAACGGCAUCCCCGGCAACCGCAUCGACCAUCUUAGGGGGCUACGGUAG
rnacentral:rRNA from 1 species